rnacentral:rRNA from 1 species
CCUACGGGACGCAGCAGUGAGGAACAUUGGUCAAUGGGCGGAAGCCUGAACCAGCCAAGUCGCGUGAGGGAAUAAGGCCCUACGGGUCGUAAACCUCUUUUGCCGGGGAGCAAGGGCGGGGACGUGUCCCGGCCCGGAGAGUACCCGGAGAAAAAGCAUCGGCUAACUCCGUGCCAGCAGCCGCGGUAAUACGGGGGAUGCGAGCGUUAUCCGGAUUUAUUGGGUUUAAAGGGUGCGUAGGCGGCGCUUCAGGUCAGCGGUGAAAUACCGGGGCUCAACCCCGGGGCUGCCGUUGAAACCGGAGC